rnacentral:rRNA from 1 species
UACGUAGGGACCAAGCGUUGUUCGGAUUUACUGGGCGUAAAGGGCGCGUAGGCGGCGCGGUAAGUCACUUGUGAAAUCUCUGAGCUUAACUCAGAACGGCCAAGUGAUACUGCAGUGCUAGAGUGUGGAAGGGGCAAUCGGAAUUCUUGGUGUAGCGGUGAAAUGCGUAGAUAUCAAGAGGAACACCUGAGGUGAAAGACGGGUUGCUGGGCCGAACAGUGCUGAGGACGAAAGCC